UGCUGAUGGAGCAGAGGCAUUAGGAAAAGCAG
rnacentral:piRNA from 1 species